rnacentral:rRNA from 1 species
UACGUAGGGUGCAAGCGUUGUCCGGAAUUAUUGGGCGUAAAGAGCUCGUAGGCGGUUUGUCGCGUCGGCUGUGAAAAUCCAGGGCUCAACCCUGGACCUGCGUUCGAUACGGGCAGACUAGAGUUCGGUAGGGGAGACUGGAAUUCCUGGUGUAGCGGCGAAAUGCGCAGAUAUCAGGAGGAACACCGGUGGCGAAGGCGGGUCUCUGGGCCGAAACUGACGCUGAGGAGCGAAAGCGUGGGGAGCAAACAGG